rnacentral:rRNA from 1 species
UUGGAGGGUAGGGGCAAUAAAUCACAAUGCGGGACUCUUAGUCUUGCAAUUGGAUUGAGAACAACGUACAACUCUUAUCGAUAAGCCAUUGGAGGGCAAGUCUGGUGCCAGCAGCCGCGGUAAUUCCAGCUCCAAUAGCGUAUAUUAACGUUGUUGCAGUUAAAAAGCUCGUAGUUGAAGUGAGGGAGUGUGUGGUUGUGAGAGCUAGUUUCGAGUAGUCACAACCUCCCCCCUCCAAUCGGUGUAGUGGGGUAUUCAGUUAUUCUACUACUCCUUUGGUCGUUUACUGUGAGAAAAUUAGAGUGUUCAAAGCGGGCGUUUGUUUGAAUAGAUUAGCAUGGAAUAAUGAUUGAAGGCUUUCGUGUUCGAUUUGAUUGGUUUGUUCAUGGAAGCAAGGUUAAAAGGAACAGUUGGGGGUAUUCAUAUCACUAGUAGUAGGAAGUGUCAUGU